rnacentral:rRNA from 1 species
CGCUUACCGCUGUGUGAUUCAUGACUGGGGUGAAGUCGUAACAAGGUAACCGUAGGGGAACCUGCGGUUGGAUCACCUCCUUACCUUAAAGAAGC